rnacentral:tRNA from 1 species
GGCUCUGUGGCGCAAUGGACAGCGCAUUGGACUUCUAGGUUUGAUAUUGGAGCUGUUCAAAGGUUGUUGGUUCAAGUCCCUACAGAGUCA